rnacentral:snoRNA from 1 species
GUCGUAGCGGUGAUGACAAAUUUGUGGACUAGAGUUUCUGAUGCUGCCUCUUCAGCAGCAUCUGCCGACAACCCCUUGGCUGUCUGAGCUCCCAU